CCUACGGAAGGCAGCAGUGGGGAAUAUUGGACAAUGGGCGAAAGCCUGAUCCAGCAAUGCCGCGUGAGUGAUGAAGGCCUUAGGGUUGUAAAGCUCUUUUACCAGGGAUGAUAAUGACAGUACCUGGAGAAUAAGCUCCGGCUAACUCCGUGCCAGCAGCCGCGGUAAUACGGAGGGAGCUAGCGUUGUUCGGAAUUACUGGGCGUAAAGCGUACGUAGGCGGUUAUUCAAGUCAGAGGUGAAAGCCUGGAGCUCAACUCCAGAACUGCCUUUGAAACUAGAUAGCUAGAAUCACGGAGAGGUUAGUGGAAUUCCGAGUGUAGAGGUGAAAUUCGUAGAUAUUCGGAAGAACACCAGUGGCGAAGGCGACUAACUGGACGUGUAUUGACGCUGAGGUACGAAAGCGUGGGGAGCAAACAGGAUUAGAUACCCUGGUAGUCCACGCCGUAAACGAUGAUAACUAGCUGUUCGGUCUCUACGAGACUGAGUGGCGCAGCUACGACAUUAAGUUAUCCGCCGUCGGGUAGGUACGGUCGCGAAGAAUUAAAACUUAAAAGGUAAAGUUAGUACGGACGUGAGACGUAGCCGACGACGACGACGAGGGAGGAGG
rnacentral:rRNA from 1 species